CUUCUUAAUUUUAUCUUUUUUAGGAUUUAUUAAGAAUAAAAUGUUAGAAAUUGUAUGAUUGUAAACUUCUUUUAUAAUAUAGCAAAUCAAAUGCAUUUGCAUAAUAUAGUAUAUACAUAGCAUAAAUAUAGCAUAGCAUAUAAUUUUAAUAACGAUUAUUUUAUUUUAAUUCCUUUUUAUAAAAAGAAAGAACUUAAAUUCAACGACUAUAAGUUUGUUAAUUGAAAGUUCUCGAUAGCGUGGGCAUCAAAGAAUUUAAUCUGUCGUUUUUAUGAAGAACUUCCAUGAAACGCGAUACAGACAUGCCUCGAAACAAGAUGAGAUCUGUCAUUAACGAGGAGUCUUUCUUUCUCAGUAAAAGUGUUCACUCGGUGAGAGGCUGCGGGCGUACAAGCGGUAUCAUAAAGGACUUGUCGCCGGAAAGUCCCACGCGUCUCGCCAACCGUCGUGGGGAAGACGACGGCGCCAGAUUCGAGAGUAGACAAGAGAGUAGACGGAGAAAGGAAAAAGAAUCUGCUACGACGCAGAAAAUGAAAAGUUACACAUAUUUACGGAAUAGGAUAUAACGAACGAUAAUAUUUUCAAUUUGUCAAAAUGAUAAAAUUUUCCAACAAAGCAAUAAGCAAUACUAUAAUUUUAAAAAAGAUACAAAAAUAAUAUUUUUUCGGAUAAAAAGUAGAUUUUUUUGAUUUUAAAAUACUACAAUAGAAACAAAGUAUAAGAAAAAAAAAACUAAUUAAUUCGUUGCAAUAAAAUGAAAAAUAAUUUCAUGAUAUCUUUCUUAACGAAAAUACUAAUUUAUUUUUUAUUCAUACAAGAAAUAAAAAUUAUUGCAAAGAACAUAUCGGGUGCUAAUAUUCGAUUUAGCCAAUAUAAAAAUUUACUAAAUCAUAAAUUAUUCAACUAAUAUCUUUUCUUCGUUUUAACCGAUGAUUAAUAACACUGGUCAACAUUCAUGUGAUAUAGAGUAUUCUGGGGCAGAUAAAACGUAUUACAGGUGGACUUGAUUGGCGCCGUUUUAUCAGACAGUCUUAAAAAGGAACAUCGAAAACGCUUUUAAAUAUGCAAAACACAGACGGAGGAUAAACGACUUGACCAAUAAAUCGAUCGUAACUUUUUGCUAUAAUUAACGUGUCGCCACGACAUUGGCGUCCGAACCUACCCUAACCUGUUCCCGAUCAAAACGUGUUUACGCCAUCUUUCAACGGAUUCGCGAACUUCAACUUAUCGCUAACUUCUCAGCAGUAGGUAAUAUUUCAUAUAAUUGUUACUGUACAAUUUCAAUUGAAUUUAGCAAUUUUUCAUCAUUUCGGGAAAUUUGAAUCAAUGUUUAAUAAAAUAAGAAUUUAUACAAGACGAUAAAAAGAAAAUAAAAUGAAUUUUAAAAAUGAAGAAAGAUAACGAAAGAUGGUAGACCAUGUCGAGUUCGAGAAACUGGUCAUUUCGCGCGGAGGCUGAAUUUAGAGGUUAAGAGUCAGGAAGAAGAGAGCUGUGAAACACGGGUGUGUCGAAGAGUACGUUCUAGCGUGGCUGUGCGCAAGGGGAAAGAGACAGAGCGGGGCCCCUGUUUCUACCAGAUAAAAAUAGAUAUUACGAGUUUACCGCGGCGCCAAGAUUGCGGGGUAUCGCGACGAUUACGUCAUCGGUAGUAGCGCGAGUGGUUGGAGCAAGGACGCUUGUCGCGUCGGUCGCCGCCGCCGUCGCCGUCGUUGUCGUCGUCGUCGUCGUCGUCGUCGUCGUCGUCGUUGUCGUGACGAACCACGAAUUUUCGUGUCUAUCUAUGAUUAUCUAUAACCAGCUUUUAGCCGUUUUCGACAAACUCGUGGCUCGCCCCAUUCAAUCAUGGCGUUUCGAUUGCAAAUGGACGCACGUGCCGCCAAAUAUACACGAUCAUUCUCAUCGAAUAUUAUUCAAUAAUGUUAUUCAUUAUUUGAGAGGUUAAAUGCUUUUAAAUAAAACUAAAGUAACGAAUAAAGAUGGCAAAGAUCUCUGUUUAAUUAAAUAGAUGAGUUAUUGUUUAAAAAAUUUUAUUAUCCAUAAAAUUUUAAUAUAAUAUCCUAUUUUGAAAUUGUAUGCUGACAUGGAUGAUAUAGAAAUCACACAAAUUUAUUCGCAGAGGCCAAAGAUUCUGAUGUCUGAAUAGAUCAAUUGUACUUAUUAUGCUAAUUAUAAAUUAUAAAAUUGUUUUAUAAUAUAUGAAAGGCGUCGAUAUCCGAAGAAGCUGCGUGCGGAGGCCACUUCUAUAAAUCUUGUUCGCGAAACGAAGAAAAGGGGAAAACGCAGGGAUGAUGGAUGGCUUUUAACGCAAUUAAGAGCAUGUGAUCCACGCCCGGCCAUUUUCGAUAGCCGAGCCACUUCUCGACUCCUCCCGGAGUCUUCCGAUUCCGAGGGUGUCGUCGCCGAGGGGAUAAAUUGAAACGGUAUAAAAAGCACGUAUCGCGCGAGAAUUCGCAGAAACGACCGUGCCAUAAAUCAUUUGUAUACGAGCGGAAGAUUCGUAGGGGGUAAAUAACGACUGCUAAUAAAUUCUCCGGCGAAGGGAAAGGGGGAGGAAGGGAGCAAAGAAGGAAGCACGUGGCGGGGCCGAAAUUAGUUUGGGUUCCGCGAGGAAAUCCUUGCCAGAAGUCGCGAUUGUGGACGAGGGGGGAGAUCUUUCUUUCCUUUACUAGCGGAAAAUUCGUUGACUAAAAUUGGGCGAUCUUCCAACACUUUAUAUCAACGAUUGUCAGGCAAUCGAAAACAACGUUUUAAUUAUGAUCUCUCGAAUUUUUGAUAUGUGUAUCUGUUUGAUACAAGAGAGUAUAAACAUCGUGAAUAUAGAAUACUGAAAAGAAUUUUUGUUUUCUUUUUUUAGGAUAAAAAUUCACAAUGACGAAAUUUUUUUAAUCUUGUUAAUAAAUUAACAUAACGAUGUCUAGGAAACAAAAUUUUUUCCUUCCCAAAAAAAAUUGAAAGAGAUGCAUUUUGGUAGGUUAAUAUAAUAUUGAUGAUUUCAAUAAUCAUUAUUUAAUCGGUUCGUCGUUGCAAAAAGAAGCAAAAGUAAAACAGUUCAUAUAAAAAGUUCGUCAUUAUCUGCAAUUACGAAAUAUACGAGAAAACUUUAAACAUAUGUUUCAAUCGAUAUAUCGCGUAUAAAAUUGUCUGGUGAAACCAAUCAAAACUGGGAGGUUCUUUGAUUCUUGGAUCUCGAGUUUUCUGCGAUUAAUAAUUAUCUGUUUGUAUCGAUCGGCGUAUCCACAUCGUCCUUCUGAUGAAAUCACAGAUUUACAGAUGAUGUUUUCACCUGAUAAAGCUAAUCGCUGUCGUCUGAGAUAGCGUGCAUCAUUGAGUUUAUCGUGGAAUAUUUCGAAAUUCUCACGACCUACAGGAACAGCCUUGACGAUAAAUCCGUAUUAAAAGAUGCCAUACUUCCUAAUCUAUUGCAAUGAUUCUAUCUUUUAGAUUUGCUAUCGUUCGAAAUACUCUAGAUUUAAUACUUGAAGAAACAAAUUAUUUCUCUUUAAUAAAUUUCUUCGAUUCUUUAAUUUCAUAA